rnacentral:lncRNA from 1 species
UUUUGCUAUUUCUUGGGUGCUCCCGUGGCAUAUGGAGGUACCCAGGCUAGGGGUCGAAUCCAAGCUGUAGUCACUGGCUUAUGCCAGAGCCACAGCAAUGAGGGAUCCGAGCCACGUCUGUGACCUAAACCACAGCUCACGGCAACGCUGGAUCGUUAACCCACUGAGCAAGGCCAGGGAUCGAACCCUCAACCUCAUGGUUCCUAGUCGGAUUGGUUAACCACUGCUCCACAACGGGAACUCCUGAUAUCACUAAUUUCUAACAACGUACUCAGGGUCAAUUUUCAAGUACAGACUAAUUUUUUGGUACUAAUCUUCUCUCUUACAGGUCUUGUCUAGGGUGAAGGUACACAAGUUACUUUUCAACUUUCCUCUUAUACUUUGCCCUUGUCCUGGCGUUGAGGGAGGCUAAUUUACAAUUUGUAACCCCGGUUGAAAAACAUGAAAAGUAUAUCCCAAUUCCUUUUCUGGUCAAAAUACCUUCCCAAGAACUCUCCUUGCUUGUAAUACAUUAACUAGAAGGCAUAAUGAGGAAGUUUAUUUUCUAUGUUAGAAACGCUAAAGGGACUAUCUUAUUUUUACACAUUAUCAUGUCAAUGAAAACAUCAAAUAUCCUCAGAUAUAAAAACACAGCAAAUUUUUAAAAUAUACGGCAAGUUGAUCUUUAAAGCAGUCAUUCUACAGACAGAUAUUUAAAAAUACAAACCACAAGGACUUACAUACAAAAAAUUUUAAAUUGGGUGGAAAUGAAAUUAUUCUUGCUUUACAGACAAGGAGUCUGUGAACUUUUAACUUAAAUGUACUCAGCAUUGUCUGAAUAUAAUAGAAAUUGGAACAAACUAAAGCUGGGGAUGUCCCAAUGAUUUUAUUGAGGUAACUUUUUCCAAUUUUAUACAUAUAUGUAUUUAAUGUAUUUAUAUAUACUUAAGAAAGCUAAACAAUGUUCUAAGGCACUUGGAAUUGUGCACAACAAAGUAUCCUGUAAUAUUAUACAACUAAAUAGAGCAUGGUUUUGCUUUUUAAAUAACACAAACACCAAUAUAGAAUAAAAAAGAUAAUACAUAGUCUUUCAGGCUACAAUAGUGGAAUUACAUAUACAUGUGUGUUUAUACUUGUAGAUAUUUAUACCCACAUUCUAUAAUACAGUACAGGUUUAAGAACAACCAAAAAAGGAGAAACUGUCAUGUUAAUCAGCAUACAGUUCCAGUUAUUUACAGCCACAGAUAUGAUACCUGUGCAAUUUAAUACAGGAUGAGAUCAAUCAUUGGAAAUUAGGAAUCAUUCAGUCAGUCUGAUAACGAUCACAGCUCAUUAUUCUUAUCAUGUUCACCAAAGCUCGAAAUAACAAAAUGCAUAUAGUCCUUUAUUUAAAAGUCACCGUUACAUAGAAGAAAAAACGACGAGUUUGAGUUUUUAGUAGGUACUAAGUCUGGUGAAAUCGGUGCAGAAUGUUUUGAACAUAUUGGCACAUUUCUAAGCCACAGAAGAAAUACAUUCUAAAAAAUGAAAAUUAGUGCCUAUAUUUUAAGGGAUGAAAGUGGUUUGACCCUAGAUCACUCAGGUUGUUUUUGAACUCUAGUUGGCGUUGCCACGGCAACUUCUCCUUGUGGACGCUCUCUAAGCAAUGUGACACAAAGUCGAACUAAAACAAAACGUCCAGGAAGGGAAAAGCCCUCCCAAUUGGCAAGUGGCACAAGUAUUUAUUGGCAUUUUCAUAUACCACAAAAUUGACCUGAGGGUGGAGUGGCAUUCUGCCUCAUUUACUCCCUUCAACUUACUCUUAAAAAAAAAAAAUACUGGUAUUGAAUAAGAAUUCUUAAGCACCACCUAAAAGUUCACAAUAUAAUGACCGUUAUCGACUCUGAGCUGCUCUGCUUCGAAAAACAUGUUUAGAAAUUUUAAUAUUGAAAAAAAUUAAAGUGGCUAACUUAAUUCCAUCUGUCAGCCACAAUUCAUCGAAUAAUUUCAAGACAUAUAUAUCAUUCCGUUUUGGUCAUAAAAAGUUACAAAGAGUAUGUUUCUAUGUUGUUAGUAUAGUAUAAUAAGGUUUCACCUAGGUAAAACUCAUCUUGUUUUGUGUAUGGUCAUUGCUCAAGUAUGAAUGACAUGCAUGCAAUUCACAGUUCACCCUCAUUAACUUCAUAAUUUAGUAUUCAUCAAUCUGAGAAAAGUGGAACUGCAUGACUAUAUUGAUGCAGGGGGAAUUCAAGCCUUUGCACGUGGACUAAAUGCUUCUUUAACAGAAUAAACAGGCAGUUGUUUGGGAAUCCAUGGGAUGCGGUUUACCAGGUGAAAUCCAAUGAUGAUUUUCAUAGACCACCAGUUUUGUUUAUGUGGAUUGUUAGCUGUCGUGUUUGUGAUUAAGCCAUGCAAGGCUCUGCAUGACAUCGACAAGGAUUAUGACUAACAGGGUACAUCUGAGAGAAAACUGUGAGGUGCAAAAAAAAAAGGGGGGGGUUUGCUUAAUUUGAAACUAAAAUCUCUCCUUUUAGUACAUACAGGGACUAACCAAGUGACUAUGCCCAUUGGAACUGCCAGGACCACCCAAUAACCCCAAGUUUGAAGAACUGGCAAACUAAAGCUGAUUCAAAGCAGAGGACUGGAAAAAUGAGGGGAGAAGAAAUUGUUUGGGGUCAAAGAAAUGCAAGGCAGUCAAGAUGAUGUUUUGAAAUAGACACUUUUUCCUGUGUCCUCAAAUUGCAAUAGACAGUGGUAUUUAAGGGAGGAGGUACUGCCCUCCUAGGAGGGGAUUUGAACCCGGGGGAGUGCUUUUUACUUUCUGUAUUUACGGUGACUGCACAUACUGUUGGCAUUUAGUCAUCAGGGCCUGAGAUAGUAAACAUCUUGCAAUGUGUGGGACAUUCCUCCACAACAAAGAACUGCCUGACUCUGAAUGCCAAUAGUACCCACACUGAGAAACACCUGUGCGAGUCCUUUGCUCAUGUUGCAGCUAUGCUAGCAAGGUGACAAGCUAAAUGACAUUUUUUGUGUGUGCGGUAGAUCCUAACACAGCUAAAAAAUGACCCAUAUGCCUGUGGGGUUGGCUUUCAGUGGGAAAAGGUGUCUCCUUGUUUUUUUCUCCUAGAAAUCUUACAGUGUAUACAAUAGGAUUUCUUAAUUUGAGAUGACCCUGUCUUUGAAAAAUCGGUAAGUUGUUUUCUAGGAACAAUACCAGUGGUUUGCAUUUCCAUAAAGAGCUUGAGCUUAACCACUACAAAAAGUAAACAGAAAGUGAAAAUAAGAAUGGUUCCAGAGGAUUCUUCCUUUGUCCUGCCACCCGUGCAUCACUCCCAAAUUACAGCAGAGGCUCAUGCUGGUCAUUGAAACUCGUGUUUCAACUUUCUGGAGAUGUGCUUUCUCUUAGAAAGAUGGUCCUAUUAAUUUGAUUUGCUGUUGCAUUCCCCUCUAAGACAUAUUUCAGCUCUAGAAGUUCAUUCUGCUUUGUCAAAUAAAACAAUGUGAUAUAUACUCAAAUACCUAAUAGUGGAAGAUUAGCCAUUUUAAGGGCUUAAGGGAAAACUUGGUAAAUAAUUGUAUCUUCAUUGUUUCUCAGUGCUCAUAGCAUUCUCUAAUGAUGUGAAGAAAUUAAUUCUUUUUUUUUUUUUCCUUUUUAGGGCCACACCUGUGGCAUAUGGAGAUUCCCAGGCAAGGAGUAGAAUUGGAGCUGCAGCUGCUGGCCUACGCCACAGACACAGCAAUGUGGGAUCCGAGCCACGUCUGACACCACAGCUCACAGAAACACCAGAUCUUUAAUUCACUGAGGAAGGCAAGGAUCAAACCUGCAUCUUCAUGGAUACUAGCCGGUUAUUAACCUGCUGAGCCACAAUGGGAACUCCCUGAAGAAAUUAUUAAUUCUUGUCUCAAAGUAUAAACUUUCACUAGUAAUGUUAGGCUUAAUAACAUGAUUGGAUUUAGGAAUGUUUAAGCUACUAUACUGAUGCAAUGAUAUAAAUUUGUGUAUCUUGUACUAGCUUGAUUCCUCUCACCUCCUCUGAGGAAGAUUUCUCUGUGUGAAAUGUGCUGCUGGGACUUCUUAAAGACAUAAUUUUUGAAGAACUCUCACUGUGAAAAAUAAGCCUGAGGCUUUCUAUUGUGAAUACAGUAUAAUUUGUGAAAUCUGUGUCUCAUUAUAUUAAGUAUAAAUACAUUGCCUGUUGUGUGUUAAGAUGUGGUAUACGUUAGAAUAGGCAGUGUUAAUGCAGCACUUUUCUCUCUUUCAAGCGUAACCUACUGUAUUUUUUAAAGUGCUAAUGCAGCACUGAAUUAAUUGCAGGUUGUAAAAUCUGAGGUUAUGGGUUUUCAGGAUUUAUCUCACAUUCUUCAUAUGUGGUGAUUUUUGAAAGGCUGUAUUCAACUCCUCUAAAUAAACAGAUACUCACUUACAUUCAGACCUUUCUACUAACAGAAUAUAUUUACUAAUGUAAGAGAAAGAUACAUGAUUACAAUCAUGAUGCUA